GGAUCCAGACUUUGAUUCUGGCUCAGGAUGAACGCUAGCUACAGGCUUAACACAUGCAAGUCGAGGGGCAGCAUGGUCUUAGCUUGCUAAGGCCGAUGGCGACCGGCGCACGGGUGAGUAACACGUAUCCAACCUGCCGUCUACUCUUGGACAGCCUUCUGAAAGGAAGAUUAAUACAAGAUGGCAUCAUGAGUCCGCAUGUUCACAUGAUUAAAGGUAUUCCGGUAGACGAUGGGGAUGCGUUCCAUUAGAUAGUAGGCGGGGUAACGGCCCACCUAGUCUUCGAUGGAUAGGGGUUCUGAGAGGAAGGUCCCCCACAUUGGAACUGAGACACGGUCCAAACUCCUACGGGAGGCAGCAGUGAGGAAUAUUGGUCAAUGGGCGAGAGCCUGAACCAGCCAAGUAGCGUGAAGGAUGACUGCCCUAUGGGUUGUAAACUUCUUUUAUAAAGGAAUAAAGUCGGGUAUGCAUACCCGUUUGCAUGUACUUUAUGAAUAAGGAUCGGCUAACUCCGUGCCAGCAGCCGCGGUAAUACGGAGGAUCCGAGCGUUAUCCGGAUUUAUUGGGUUUAAAGGGAGCGUAGAUGGAUGUUUAAGUCAGUUGUGAAAGUUUGCGGCUCAACCGUAAAAUUGCAGUUGAUACUGGAUAUCUUGAGUGCAGUUGAGGCAGGCGGAAUUCGUGGUGUAGCGGUGAAAUGCUUAGAUAUCACGAAGAACUCCGAUUGCGAAGGCAGCCUGCUAAGCUGCAACUGACAUUGAGGCUCGAAAGUGUGGGUAUCAAACAGGAUUAGAUACCCUGGUAGUCCACACGGUAAACGAUGAAUACUCGCUGUUUGCGAUAUACAGCAAGCGGCCAGG
rnacentral:rRNA from 1 species